UACGUAGGGUGCGAGCGUUGUCCGGAAUUAUUGGGCGUAAAGAGCUUGUAGGCGGUUUGUCGCGUCUGCUGUGAAAUCUCAAGGCUCAACCUUGAGCUUGCAGUGGGUACGGGCAGACUAGAGUGUGGUAGGGGAGACUGGAAUUCCUGGUGUAGCGGUGAAAUGCGUAGAGAUCAGGAAGAACACCGGUGGCGAAAGCGCUCUGCUGGACCUUAACUGACACUGAGGGACGAAAGCUAGGGGAGCGAAUGGG
rnacentral:rRNA from 1 species